CAGUUCUAACUACAAUUGGAAGAUAGAAGUUACGAAACUCUGAGUGACUUGAUCAAUGACAUAUAAGUAGCCAAGAGAACCACAGAAUUUUUUUUCAACUCUCUCCAGCUAGCACUAUUUAGACUUCACUCUGUUGAUUCAGAGAUGGUAGAAGAAUUGGCAUUGUCUCUUACUCUUCUCUUUUUGUCAAGAUACAUCUGGAAAAGAAUAAAUGAAGUCCCAAUGAGAAAAGCAAAGUCUAUUUUUUUCAGAGCUUGCUAUGCCAAAGGAGUCAACCACCAUCACUUGUGUUUAAGCAGCGACUCAAAGCAGACGAAGCAGUGGUGAAGCUUCAUGAUGGGUGAGGGCCCAGUAAAAAUUAGGGAAGGGGAAUGUGAAAUGUGGUGAAGAUUCAACUUAUAAGGCAACAGGUUUUGUUCAUUCACAUCAAGCUCUGAAAAUCUCUCAUCUUAAAGGAUGGAGAAUUUGGUCAAUUUAGUGAUCCUAAAUGUGCAAGAAAUGUAGUCAUUUUACUGAAAUUGUGUGCAUAAAGAUAAAGCCAGCUUAAAAGAACAGCAAGGAGUUGAACAUUACUUCAAUUCAUCUGAAAUGCGUUGUUGAUCAACUAAAAAGAAGCUGUGAGGAAAGAAAUGCUAAAUAAAGCCAACUGUCCUG
rnacentral:lncRNA from 1 species